rnacentral:misc_RNA from 1 species
AUGAGCCGUAGACGAAAAGCGAAUCCGACAAAACUGAGUGAAAACGCGAAGAAGCUUGCCAAGGAAGUUGAAAAUAGUCAAGAAGAAAACGACUGCGACAUGCUGGCCAAACCGCAAACCCCCACGAUUAUCAUACCUGGUCAUAUGGACGACACGCCGAAUCCAGCCGGGUCACCUCACGACGCCUCAAUCAAAUCGAGCUCGAGCACCAUCUCCGAUCAUACGAGCACGUCAGCAACAACCGGAAUUUCUGAUUUUCCCGAUAUUCUGGCACAAACUGAACACGGCUGUUCUGUACUAAUAGACGGAAAUCACUUAAGAGAGAUUAUCAAUUCAGUGGAUACGCAAGACGGAAAACAAGAUCUAUUAUCAGACGUUAUCCGACAGCUGACAUCAAUAAAAGAGAGGUUAACAAACGACGAGAGUCCUGUCAAAGACGAUUUAAAAGAAGAUCCUGACGACAUGAGCCCGGUAAGUCGUCAGCUCAGCGUGCGUGCCUUUCAUUGCUUUCUCCUACUUUUUUAAUCACACUUUAACUGGCAUGUAAAAACAGUCAAGGGCGUGUCAAAUUGCGCAAGACAAACAUCUACCGUCAUUCUAAUGCUCCAUGCCGGCAAUUUCGACUCGGAGAUGCUCCUGAGGCAGCACGAACUGAUGCAGCAUCAGCAGCAACAAAUGAUAAUUGCUAACAUGUUGAAAGCCACCCAAUCUCUCCCACUCCUUUUUAAUGGCGGUUUGAAUUAUGAAGCUAUACUGAACAAUCCCGUCUUAAAUGCUACUAUUGCUGGACAUUUGCCAAAUCCUCUUGCAUCGAACAUUUCCUUGCUUCAAAAGAGUAUUAGCGCAAAACUUGCAGCCGCUGGAAACAUGCAAACAGUCGAAAAAGUGGAGACACCUUUAAAUCUUUCAAAAGACACCCCAUCUCCAACUGCUAUUCCACAAUCUCCACUAUCUGGAUUUCGGCUACCAUACUCACUUGGGACAAAUUAUGGAAGCGAUGGUCAAUUAUUUAACAAUUGCUCACCAAAUUCCAGUGGUAAGAGCACGCCUGGUAACACAUCAGUAACUAGUGAAGUAGCAACUCCACGACCACAGGCCAAAUCACCAAACCAUAUCAAAAGACCAAUGAACGCAUUCAUGGUAUGGGCUCGUGACGAGAGACGAAAAAUUUUGAAAGCGUAUCCGGAUAUGCACAACAGCAACAUCUCGAAGAUCCUCGGAUCUCGUUGGAAAGGUAUGAGCAAUUCCGAGAAACAGCCAUACUAUGAAGAGCAAUCACGGCUGAGCAAAUUGCACAUGGAGCAGCACCCGGACUAUCGGUACAGACCACGUCCGAAGAGAACAUGUGUGAUUGAUGGAAAGAAGGUUCGAGUCAACGAAUAUAAGACAAUCAUGAAGACUAAAAAAGAUUUGAUGUGGGGAGAUGAGCCAGGAUUUUCUCAACCAUCAGAUCUACAAAUGGACUUGGCAUCACAUGUAAAUCUUCUCAACGACCUCACACAGCACCACCACCAGUCACAUCUCCUACAAACAGCUGAAUAA